rnacentral:rRNA from 1 species
UACGGAGGGGGCUAGCGUUGUUCGGAAUUACUGGGCGUAAAGGGCUCGUAGGCGGCCAACUAAGUCAGACGUGAAAUCCCUCGGCUUAACCGGGGAACUGCGUCUGAUACUGGAUGGCUUGAGGUUGGGAGAGGGAUGCGGAAUUCCAGGUGUAGCGGUGAAAUGCGUAGAUAUCUGGAGGAACACCGGUGGCGAAGGCGGCAUCCUGGACCAAUUCUGACGCUGAGGAGCGAAAGCCAGGGGAGCAAACGGG